GAGAGAGGCCUUGAGGCACCAAAGACUGCUAAUCUUUUUUCCUGCAGUUAAAAUCUGUAGCUCACUCG
rnacentral:tRNA from 1 species